ACCAGGGGGCUUUGGGGAGAAAAAAGGAAAAAUAACAUCUUCAAAAAAAAAAAAAAGAGGGCAACUUGAGCACUUGUUCCAACCGCCCCAGCCCAACCCAACCUCUAAACGUGACUGGAAAAAAUAUGUACUUUAAAAAUCUAUAACCGGGCUAGAAACUACAAAGGGAUAUCCUCAUUAUCAGAAAUUAUGAGGAAUAAAGGAUGCUGGGAAGUGAAAGGCAGAUAGAUGGGAUUGAGUUGAAGGUAAAAAUCUAGCCAUAAAUGUUCAGAAGAGGAUGCCUGUAAAGUGGGGCUGGUCCUCGGGGCGUGCCGAGCACAGGGGAGGCAGGUCCGGGGAGCAGGAGAGGUGACAAGGUGACUGAUGGGGUGUGGCAAGGGUUUGCUCCUCCCCAUCCUGCUGCACCAAGCAGCUGGCGACAGAUGCUGCUAGCAGACAGCAGAGAGAUAAGGACAAACUAGGGGAAAUUAUUCACCACAAAGGGGCCGGACACAGGGCUCAUUUCCUUCAUAAACAAUGAGCCAUCUAUCGAUAAGAUAAAGACCAACAGCCAACAGAAAAUCCAGGGCGAAGAUGCAAUCAGGCAGUUCACAGAGAAGGAAAUGCAAAUAACUAAUACCCAUAUGAGAAGAUGCUGGAUCUCACUCAUAAUUAAAGAAAUCCUGAUUAAAACAACGAGAUACAUAUUGUUCACUAUUAGCAAAGAUUUGGAAAGCCCGCGGGUGCUCAGGGCUGGUGGGGGUAUGAGAAAGAGGCCUCUCACACAGUGCCGGUGGGGUGUAAAUUGGUACGACCUUUCUGGAGGACAAUUUGACUUUAGCUAUCAAACAGAAUUAUUAAGGUAUUGGAAGAGAAUAUGAUGAAAUAUUUUUUAUAUUCUUGGAGUGGGGAAAACCUUCGUAAGAAAGACAAAAUCUAGAAGCCCUAAAGGAAAAGAUGGACAGAUUUGACCUCAUAAAAAUUUAAAACUUUUGUAGGGCUAGAGACCAUAUCAAAGAUAGAAGACAAAUGACAGACAGUAGGUGCAACAUGCGUAAUAACCCUAAAAUGUAGAGUCCCUUCAUAUCAAAGGCUAAAGCUUUAUAUGUCAGUAUAUAAAAGGUCAAAGGACAAGAACAAGCAAUUCACAGGAGAAGAAAUUCAAAUGGCCUCGCAUUGAGAAAUGACAUUUAUGCUCACUAGAGAUCAGAGAAAUGCAAAUUUGAAAUUUGGUAAUAUCUAGCAUUGGCGAAAAGAAAGGAAUGCUCCUGUGUGCUGGGGGCGUUCUGUGCCAGGACAGCCUUUUGAAGGCCAUUGGAAGAACCUGUCAAGAUGUAAAAUGUGCAGAUAAACUUCCAGACAUCUGUUCUUUGGAGACACCUGCUCAGUAGUACAUGGAUAAGUGAAGUAUGCUCCUCACCGAACUGUUUGUAUUAGAGAAAAGCUGGAGAUAAUCUGAACAAUCAGAGAGUGGGAAGAGAAAGGGGAGUUCACCUUUUAUUUUUAUAUUGUUUGAAUUUUUUCUAUUUAAUACGUUUUAAAUUUAAUGCCAAAAAGGGGGGAAAUGCUGUGUCUGAUUUUCGGGAAAUUAUGAGAGUGAGCUGAAAUUCCAGCAUCUCCUCUCCCUAAAUCCCAUUAAAAAGUCCUUGAAAUCAGCCCAAACAAACUCUCAGGCACAGCCAGAGCAAAAAUGGAGGAGCGUAGCUCUGAAUCCUGAAUCCACAUGGUCCAGCCCCUCCAAUGGGAAGAGACGAAGGAGUGGAUUCCCUUCACACAACCUCCAUCACACCUGGCUGGAGUGGCCACAACUGCACGGAGGAGGGAGAAGGAAGGCAGCUCCUGCCGCUGGCCCUCGCCCAGUGCUCUUAUCUGGGCUGAGCACCCAGCCCAGGAAAGGGAACCAGGACAACUGCCCAGGCCUCCAAGAUCAGGUUCACAAUUGCUCUGAAUGGAACAAGGAAGAAAAUUACCUGUCUCACCCCAAGUCGUGGGGCAUCUAUGAUGAGGACACGGAAACUUGGGAACCCAGGAAAACAACUCGGAUGCAGGAAGAGCCAAGACUGCAGUCAAGCUGGGCUGCAGAUCUUUGCUCUGUCCUCCUGCAAAUAGCACCAGUGAGUCAUCCCUCCCCAGGGAGAUGCUUUUCUCUCUGCCUCCACCAUUUGGUCUCAUCGCACUCGUGACUCUUCUCUGUGUCAUCACUCCUACUCAGGGCUGAUAGUCAAAAUACCUAACAACUUCUAAAGCAUGGGCACCCGCCAAACAAACAGACACCAGCUGUGAACAAUGGAAAGAGGUAGCAAAUUACCCCAAAACUCAGUGGUUUAGAACAACAAAUAUUUAUGAUCUCAUGCACUUACGGAUCUGGAAUUCGGAGCUGCUUAGCUGAGUGGUUCUGGCUCAGGGCCUCCCCUGAAGUUGUAGGCAAGAUGUUGGUUGGAGUUGCAAUCAUUUGAAGGCUUGAUGGGCCUGGAGGAUCCACUUCCAAGAUGUCUUACUUGCAAGACUGUUGGCAUGAGGCCUCAGUGCCACAGCAGUGGGCCUCUCCAUAGGGCUGCUUGAGUGUCCUCACAACAUGGUGGCUGGCUUCCCCAGAGAGAGUGAUCCAACAUAGGAAGGCAGAGUCACAAUGUCUUUCAUGACCUAACCUGGAAGGUCACAUGUUGUCACUUCUGCAAUAUCUUAGUACAUACACAGAUCAGCUGUAUUCUGUGUGGGAGGGGCUACACAAAGUUGUAAAUACCAGGAGGUCAGGAUCCUCGGGGGACAUUCUGGAGGCUGGCUACCAUGGGUACCAUAUCACUCCCUGUUUAAAACCCUCUAAUGGCUUCCCAGCACUCUUAGAAUAAAAUACAAAUGCCUGGCCGUGGUCGGCAAUGCCUGGCAUGAACUGGCUCCUACCCGCUUUCCAUCUCAGCGUGUCCUUGUUCACCCACCUGCACUAAACUUCAAACACUCCAACUUUCCAUCUGUCCCUCAACAUCAUCAACUCGUCCUUUAUAUUUUCUGUGCCUUCUGCCUGGAAGUCUGCUUACCCAUAUCUUUGCAUGGCUGGUUCCUUCUCAUCUUUCAGGUCUCAGCUCAAAUGUCACCCCUUCAGACAGGUAUCUUGACCACCUUAUCAAAAGUUGCCCCCACCCCUGCCUGUCACUUUCUCUCACAUCACCUUGUGUGUGUAUGUGUUUCCACUGUCACAAAUUUGUAGCUACUACUCAAUUUACAUGUUCUGACUUGCCGUGUGAUGUAUUUACAAGUGCAGUCAGUUCCAAAGGGAUGCUCCGUUUCCAUUCACAUCUCCUUGUGUUAACAUCUUCCUAGCAUGACCUCUGUCAGAAAGUAUCUCACUCAUUGGAUUAUUGCCCUUCUCCCUCCACAUACCAGUAAGAGACCUUGCUUACAAGCAACAGACUCCUCUCUAGCUGGUGGAAGCUGAAGAGGAAUUUAUUAAAGGAUAUUAGGUGCCUUAUAAAAUCCUUGUGAAAGCAGAAAACUAGGCUUGGAAGCUGUUUACAUGGACCGGUCCUCAGAUAGCCCCCAAUGCACACACACUGCCAUUUGCCCUGGUGGGCACUUGAAGACGGUUCCCCCAUUGGGAUGCCUGCUGCUGCUGCCUCUCAGAGCCGUAUGGGUCUGCUGCCGUCCUCGCCAGGAAGGAUUCCUUGGCACCUGCUUCUCAGUGUCACUUAGCCUCAUGCAGGCGCAUCUGAGUGGUGGUUUCUUAAGUUGCAUGCUCGGCCUAUUCUGUAAGCAAGGCUGGGAAAGCAUCUGGCUUCCACCAUGUGGAGGGGUGAGUCCAUAAGGUGAGGAAUUCUCAAAAUAGAGGCAGAGUAUUCCCUGGUUUGGGGAAGCCAAAGUCAGUUGUUGACAUACAUCCUCUUUAGUCUACCCCGUUGGUUACUUAACCUCAUCAUCAGCCCUUCCUCCAUGCUUAAACUUACAGAUAAGAACAGAACCCAAAAGCAAGCCAAGAGGUUUCUCAAAAAGGAAAUAGUUACUUGCAAAAAGAAUUCAUGGCUUCAUUCCAGAACUUAGGGUUUUCUGCUAUUCUCUGACCCUCUUGCUCACGUAUUUAUUUAUGCCUUGCCGAGAGCACCCCUCUGGGUAAGCACUAUGAGAACAGGAAUCUUCUUCAUCCCUGCCCCCUCAGUCCCCAGAACAGUGCCUGCAAUGUCACAGGUGCCCACAAGUGUUAAUGAAUUGUGUCUGCAAAGUCCUCUCCCACACUGAAUAGGGCUGACCUGUGCAACUGAUGGGACAUUGCAGAAAUGGCAGUGUGUGACAUUCAAGUCUCAGCUCCCAUGGCUAACUGCCUCAUUCUUUGUCCCCAGUUUCAGAGAUGAGGAAUCUGACUGGCUCAUAUUGUCUAUUUGGACCAAGUCAUAGGUUGUCAGGGGACCUGUAAAUUAGAGGCUAUGAGGAGAGGUGCCUGUCCACUUUAUUCAACCAGAAGGAGCUGUGGCAUCCCCGACACCGUGGUUGACGUGUCUUGUACAAUGGGGUCACAUCUUAUCUGAGGAUUGGAUUCUAAAAUCUCCAGAGUAAGCCCUUAAUAUCUGUUAAAUAAAUGAAUGAAAGACUUUCUAAUGGACUGGGAUGGGUCAUCUCAUACCAAUGAAAAUGAGAAGCUACCCCGACUCGAAGAUCUAGCCUGGUGAAAUCCCUAAACCCGAUGGAAAAAUAAAGACUUCUCCCAAAUUUCAAACAAAAAACAGUUGGAUGACUUUCAAAAAUCUUGAUAAUUGGAACAGCUUUGAACUUCACACUGCAAUAGUCAUCACCUGAGACAACAGAGUGAAAACUGGAGAAUCAAUGAGGGGACAUGUGCCUCCCAGGUGCCCAAAACCCGAAGCCCGGAAGACAGUCAAAGGCAACCUCAGACCCAGAACCUCAGGAAAAUGGCCUCAGGGGCCUUGAGUGAAACACAGACUAAAGGACACCUGGAAAGCGAGAGCUCUCGUCAGUCUGCUGACGCUGAUGGACUGCCGUCUGUGGGCCGCCUGUCCCCUUCUCCUGGGCCUUGGGUUCUGGGUUCCAGGGGGAGGAGGCAGUCAGUCAACAAACAAGUGAAAGAAUGAUUGAAUCAACCCUCAGAGGGCAGGGCUGGCCUGCUGCCUUACGUUGGUGGCAGCAGGGCUGGCAGGGCAGCCUCCAUCUGCCCCAUAGGGCAGCUGCGCAGGUUGCAGCCCAGCCUGCCACUGGCAACUCCAGCUGUGACAUUGCAGACUCCUUGACCCUGGGCUGUGACCCUGUGAUCACUCUGCGCGGUGGGGUAGGACGGGGGCUGGGACUGGGCACCCCUCCCCCUGUUCAUUGUGAUGAGGGAAUGGCAGCCCAGGUCCCUCCCGCAGAUCCCCAGGGGCCCCCACCCUAGUGAGCUGGACCCCUCUGAACCUGGAGCAGUCUUUUGUGCUUUGACAUCAGCCACACCAGCAGUGAACAGAAGCCUACUCUCUCCCCUUCCUCCUGAGCCUCAGGGUCCCAGGGCAGGCACAGCCCAGGACCCUCCCCAGCUCUGUCCAGGUGGGCAGGUGACUCAGCCUGCCACAUGGCAGGAAAGGAAACGGAGGAGACUCCUGAAGCCCAGGUCCCCACACCGCUCCUUUCCUCCAGCUUGGGCUACUGUGGCCAGGUUAUAUCCACGAGCACUCAUGUGCGUCCCUUGUCCAUUCUUUCAGUUGUAUUUAUUGUGUACCUACUGUGCGCUAGAAGCUGGUGGGGUUUCACUCUACAGAGAUGGCCAACGCUGGUCUCUACACAGGUCAACCGUUCCCAGCUCUCUGAAGCUCUGGAACAAUCGCCUUGGACACAUCACCCACCCUGUGCACAGUGAGAAAGUAGGCAGUACUUUUUGUCCCUUGGGGACAAAAAUAAAAACCCAGUCACUUAAGUGUCACUCCUACAGCAGCAAUGACUUAAUGACUGGAGAUAGGAAAAAAAUACCAUUGUCUGAACAAAGAGAUGUACUUCGUGAAUUUUAUUAUACUGACUGACAUGCUUAAUUCCCUUCCCUUUGGGAAAAAAGAAGAAAAAAGCACUGGAUGCCCCCUCCUCCUAAAAAAGAUAAAAAUAAAUGAUCAGAACAGACACAAAA